ACUGCUCAGUAACACGUGGAUAACCUGCCCUUGGGUCCGGCAUAACUCCGGGAAACUGGAGAUAAUUCCGGAUAACGCACAUAUGCUGGAAUGCUUUAUGCGUAAAAUGGAUUCGUCUGCCCAAGGAUGGGUCUGCGGCCUAUCAGGUAGUAGUGGGUGUAAUGUACCUACUAGCCUACGACGGGUACGGGUUGUGAGAGCAAGAGCCCGGAGAUGGAUUCUGAGACAUGAAUCCAGGCCCUACGGGGCGCAGCAGGCGCGAAAACUUUACAAUGCGGGAAACCGUGAUAAGGGGACACCGAGUGCCAGCAUCAUAUGCUGGCUGUCCAGGUGUGUAAAAUACACCUGUUAGCAAGGGCCGGGCAAGACCGGUGCCAGCCGCCGCGGUAACACCGGCGGCCCGAGUGGUGAUCGUGAUUAUUGGGUCUAAAGGGUCCGUAGCCGGUUUGGUCAGUCCUCCGGGAAAUCUGAUAGUUCAACUAUUAGGCUUUCGGAGGAUACUGCCAGACUUGGAACCGGGAGAGGUAAGAGGUACUACAGGGGUAGGAGUGAAAUCUUGUAAUCCCUGUGGGACCACCUGUGGCGAAGGCGUCUUACCAGAACGGGUUCGACGGUGAGGGACGAAAGCUGGGGGCACGAACCGGAUUAGAUACCCGGGUAGUCCCAGCCGUAAACGAUGCUCGCUAGGUGUCAGGCAUGGCGCGACCGUGUCUGGUGCCGCAGGGAAGCCGUGAAGCGAGCCACCUGGGAAGUACGGCCGCAAGGCUGAAACUUAAAGGAAUUGGCGGGGGAG
rnacentral:rRNA from 1 species